CCUACGGGGGGCUGCAGUGGGGAAUAUUGGGCAAUGGGCGCAAGCCUGACCCAGCAACGCCGCGUGAAGGAAGAAGGUUUUCGGGUUGUAAACUUCUUUUAAGAGGGAAGAGCAGAAGACGGUACCUCUUGAAUAAGCCACGGCUAACUACGUGCCAGCAGCCGCGGUAAUACGUAGGGGGCAAGCUUUGUCCGGAUUUACAGGGUGUAAAGGGCGUACAGCCGGGAAUAAAAGUCAGGUGUGAAAACCCGCGGCUCAACCGCGGAACUGCAUUUGAAACUGUUUUUCUUGAGUACCGGAGAAGUCUUCGGAAUGCCUUGUGUAGCGGUGAAAUGCGUAGAUAUAAGGCAGAACACCAGUGGCGAAGGCGGAUGGCUGGACGGCAACUGACGGUGAGGCGCGAAAGCGUGGGGAGCAAACAGGAUUAGAUACCCGAGUAGUC
rnacentral:rRNA from 1 species